rnacentral:rRNA from 1 species
CCUACGGGAGGCAGCAGUGGGGGAUAUUGCACAAUGGGGGGAACCCUGAUGCAGCGACGCCGCGUGGGUGAAGAAGCGCCUCGGCGCGUAAAGCCCUGUCAGCAGGGAAGAAAAUGACGGUACCUGAAGAAGAAGCCCCGGCUAACUACGUGCCAGCAGCCGCGGUAAUACGUAGGGGGCAAGCGUUAUCCGGAUUUACUGGGUGGAAAGGGGGAGGAGACGGCGAUGCAAGCCAGGAGUGAAAGCCCGGGGCCCAACCCCGGGACUGCUCUUGGAACUGCGUGGCUGGAGUGCAGGAGGGGCAGGCGGAAUUCCUGGUGUAGCGGUGAAAUGCGUAGAUAUCAGGAGGAACACCGGUGGCGAAGGCGGCCUGCUGGACUGCAACUGACGUUGAGGCCCGAAAGCGUGGGGAGCAAACAGGAUUAGAUACCCCUGUAGUC